GGGAAGGUGGCCGAGCGGUCUAAGGCGCCACGUUAGGGAUACCCUUAAUUUCAUUCUCUCUCUCCACCGAUAGAGAGAGCAAAAAUCCGUGGUCUCGUAAGAGGCGUGGGUUCAUAUCCCACUCUUCUCA